GAUGAACGCUGGCGGCGUGCCUAAUACAUGCCAGUCGAGCGAACAGACGAGGAGCUUGCUCCUUUGACGUUAGCGGCGGACGGGUGAGUAACACGUGGGUAACCUACCUAUAAGACUGGGAUAACUUCGGGAAACCGGAGCUAAUACCGGAUAAUAUUUCGAACCGCAUGGUUCGAUAGUGAAAGAUGGCUCUGCUAUCACUUAUAGAUGGACCUGCGCCGUAUUAGCUAGUUGGUAAGGUAACGGCUUACCAAGGCAACGAUACGUAGCCGACCUGAGAGGGUGAUCGGCCACACUGGAACUGAGACACGGUCCAGACUCCUACGGGAGACAGCAGUAGGGAAUCUUCCGCAAUGGGCGAAAGCCUGACGGAGCAACGCCGCGUGAGUGAUGAAGGUCUUCGGAUCGUAAAACUCUGUUAUUAGGGAAGAACAAACGUGUAAGUAACUGUGCACGUCUUGACGGUACCUAAUCAGAAAGCCACGGCUAACUACGUG
rnacentral:rRNA from 1 species